GACGAACCGUGCAAACGUUGUUCGGAAUCACUGGGCUUAAAGGGCGCGUAGGCGGGCGAUCAAGUCAGGGGUGAAAUCCUCCGGCUCAACCGGAGAACUGCCUUUGAUACUGGUCAUCUUGAGUGAGGUAGGGGCGUGCGGAACUGAUGGUGGAGCGGUGAAAUGUGUUGAUAUCAUCAGGAACUCCGGUGGCGAAAGCGGCGCGCUGGACCUUUACUGACGCUGAGGCGCGAAAGCUAGGGGAGCAAACGGG
rnacentral:rRNA from 1 species